CCUGCGGGCCGAUUAUUGAAAUUGAUAGACAAAGCUAUAGACAAAGACGACAAAAGGAUUUGGAGGGAUCCUAUUGGUGGAAGCAGGUGGUGGCAAUGGACAAAGGAGGUAGGUAAUAGACUAACUAACGGCAACUCACGAGAAACCCGACAGUUAGUCUAUUAUUUUCUCCCUUUGUCGAUAGGAACCACCCAUUUCAACCAAUAGGAUCGCUCCAUACUCCCUAUGUCUUCUUUGUCUAUAGCUUUGUCCAUCAGUUUCAAUAAUCGGCCCGCUGCUCUGAUAAUUCUCUUGAUCUCAUCCUUCAUCUCUUUCGUUUCAGUUGCAAGAAGCAUUCUGGAGACAAUGAUCAAACAAGGCAAAGGACACUGGGUGCUCCUUAGUUCAGUGGCUGAAUCGAAAAUCAUCCUCAACAUCUAGGAAUCACUGCUGCACAGUUUGCUGUCCAAGGAUUCAGUGAAUCAAUCUCUUACAAUUUACCAAAGAAAAACGUCAACGUAUCUCUUGUCCACAUCUACCCGUUCAUUCUGCCACCUCUAUUUCAGAAAAUUUUGCAAAAGAGGUAACUAAGCUCUCAACUGGGCAACUGUAAUACUUGACUGCACGUAUCCUUGGAAGAUGGAAAAAAAGAAAAAGCUUUUUCUUUUUUUUAAAUAUACGAUAUAACAAUAACGGUAGAUAAUAUAUAACAGUUAUAUGGUUAAAAUACUUGAAAUUUAAUUGGAAACACCACAAGUUUUUAUUUAGAUGCAAGAGAGUCAUUGCAUUCAAAGACAUCAGCAACAACUCAUCACCUCACUUUUUUUCAGAAUUUCAAGUUAUUUUGGCACUAUCGAACCACAAGAUGCGGCACGACACAUCAUUUAUGGCAUGAGGCGUAACCGAGUGGAGUUCAGCAUUCCUCUGUACUUACAUUUCCUGAAUAAGUUACUGCGGAUUUUGCCGAAAAAGUCUGCUUUCAUGCUGCGGGAUUCAUUUGAUACUGGCGUCGAUUUUGGGUGAUUAGACUCGCCCAGUUUUCAAAAACUCAUUUGGCAAGUCUAUGUAUCUCGUCGGUAAACUUUUUUAAAUUUCUCUUACUUCGUUUUUUGCUCGCAAACCAACAUUUCCAAUAGAUCUGCUCAAUUUUUAUGAAAUUUAUAAAUUUUUAAGAAAUGUUUACACAGAAAGAUAGUUUAACCCUUGUAGGCUAUCAAUUUCUACAAUACUGUUAUCUCCUCUGUAAAGUAUGUUAAACAAAUUAUUUUUCUACUCCUGUAGGGUUUUUUUUGUAUUUAUAAUGUUGUUCUUCCUUUAUUGAUCUUUUAACUCAGGGUGAUUGUUAUUUUUUUACAGUUUAUCUUUAAAAUAUUUACGUAACAAAAGCAAGUUCCAGAUUUAUUUGUUCUGAAGAUCUGAGGAAUUAGUCAUAAAAAUACAUCUUGUCUCCGAAAGUGCCUAGUUGGUUUCUUUUAUUUUUUUUCCUAAUAACAUUUUUGUAGAACAACACAUUUUUUCAUAGGCCCUUUAGAUUUUUUCAUUCCCUGGUUAUCGAAUUCUGAUUUGGGCCCUAUCGAAGCUACACAUCAAAUUUGCACGACAUUUUGAAAAACAGAAAAAAAUUAGUGUUUUAGCAUAGUGAAUCAGUCGGAGACAGACUAAUUUUGCAUGAAUGUGUCCAAUUUUUUUGUGUUUAAAAUUCUGCACAAUAGUGCCACAGUAUGCCUUCUCUCCAGUGACUUGCCUCACAUUUUUUAAGGGAAAGAUUAACUUAACCAUACUAAAAAUGUUUAAUUGAUGGCAACUAUACCUACAAAAAAAUUCCUCAAAAUGCAUUCUUCUGUAUCCUUGAGCAGUCAACUCAUAAAACGCAAUAGGAUGAGGAAAAUUUCUUACUUGUCGAAAGGAACUUUAGUCAAAGUGAUAGCUUUAGAUCUCAUGGGACCUUUUCGUUGGAUUUGUCCCAGGGAAAAGUCACCAUUGCGAAGUUGAGGUUGGGAAAAAUAUUGAGUUUCGUCAGUAACAAUAUGAGCACCAAGUAUGGUUCUUGCACUCUUUGUAGAGAUAUCUAAGAUCAACUGAGAGGGAGAAGAUGUGAAAGCAAAUUAUGUUACAUUUUGUUGUUUAUUCGAAUUUUCACAUUUCAAUCAAGUAAUUUGUUUGAUGGUUCAUUGUGUUCAAUCAUUAUCCUAAUGCCGGUUGAGUACUCGGUUUUACCAGUUUAUCCUCCUGCGUAAAUUUGCCGCAGCCCUGAGAGCCCUGUUCUGUGAAGACGGUAACUGUGAAAAAUCCUCAAAGUUUCAUUCCUGGAAUUCGACCCCAUGGUCUAAUUCAAUGAAAACGUUCUGUGGAGACAAGACCUAGGCUUGUGUAACUUUGUUUUAGAGAAUCGUGCUGUCAAACUUUGCUCACAGGAUUUUAGUUGGCUAGUUGUUAGUCUGACCAUAUUCUUAUCAGAUUCUCUUUUAGACUUUUGCCCAAUGAGGCAGUGUAUUUUUUUUUCUAGGCACAACUUUACAAAAUGAGAACUCUAAAACUCAUCAGAAAUAUGCCAGUUUGGGGAAUUGUAAUAAAGUGCUUUGUGUGCAUUUUUCGUAGUGUCUUGUUGUAUUUGCGCAAAUUGUAAAUAGGUUUCUCUGAGGCAAUUUUUAUGAUCAUUAGAAUUUAAGUGCAAUCAAAGAAUCUGCGAUAGUUCCAAAUUGUUAUGAGUUGUUGGCCAAAGGUGAGGAAAUAGGUAACCGAUGCCGUAAUUAUUCAUGAUAACAAAAUAAGUUUCAGGCCUCAUUCACCCUUGUGAUAAUGGUGAAAAAAUAUAAAUGUAAAUCAAAUGUGGCAAACAUUUCUAACAUUUUGACAAUCAAUAUCUUUGUGUUUUUGACAUGUAAUGUUAUCAUCUCACGGACACAAUGGUGAAAGUAUCUCAUGUAAUACUGACUGUUUGUUUCAUAUUUUUAGCCUUGGUUACCUGUCUUCCAUUUUUCUGUUCGAGAUUACAGUACGUUUAUAAGCUACUUAUCAUGCAGCUAUUGUUAAAGUUUUAUAGAACUUUUAUCUUUUAAUUUGACGCAUUUAUGCCAAAAGGAACAAUGGUGCAAGCAAACCCUUUGCUAAUAGUUCCUUUUAGCAUACCUAAUUACACUCCAUUUGUCCCCUGAAAUUUCAUUGUUAUCUUAGAUUGUUUUGGCCCCCACCAUUUAUCAAUUUGUCCUCUAUUUUACAUGAAUUUCAACUUUAGUCAUCAUAAAUAAUCAAAAUUGAAUGCUAGUCUAUGUACUUAAAGUUUUGUAUGAAGAUAAUGAAAAUACUCAGGCAACUGUCAAUCAGUUUCUGAACUGUUUGCACUUUUUCAGUAUGGAUGAGGGUUUUUAUACCAUUUUAUCAAACGAAGCAUGUCCCUACGCAGAGAAGAGAACCAGAGAUUUUCCAUGUUUGUAAUUGCGUUUUAAUGGAGAAUUUGCAAGGGUCUGAAAUUUGAUGAAUUUCGUGUUUAAGAGGAAUCUACUGAGUGAACUGAGCACGAAGAUGCCCUUGAUUCAUAAAUUGAGCAAUUAUUAGGGGAGGUAUGACAAAAUAACCGAUUCUGCUAAAAUACAUGUGUUCAAAUGGGAAAUGUCGCCAGAUGACGUCACAAGGCGGCAAAUUUUCUCACUUUCAAAUCAAUUUUUCUCCAAUUUCCCAUGUCAGAAAAAAAUUAUGAAAAUUACCGUGAACUCAACUCGUUAAGCACUUUCAGAAGAAGCAAUAAAAUGUUUACGUGCAAAUUCUCCAUUUCACUUUGUAGGUAUUAUGCAAGAUGGGCCUGAAAAUAUGUGUAAGUAAUGAAAAAAAGUGUACUACAUUUUACAAUAAGGAGCUAAAAUUUCUGAUUCAUCCCUAAAAGUACCUAUCUGCUCUCUGAAAACUGAUGACAUAUACCUCAUUUUCAAAUGAAUAAGGAAUGGUCGUUCCCAAUUGCAAAAUGCAGUCCAAUUAAUGUGGUGCCUAAUGAUUUUGCCCUGUUGAGUUGCCUAAAUAAGUCGGUCAAGUCUCUCUGAAUUAAUAUUUUAAUAUUCAUGAUACAUUCAUGAUUUCUGUCGCUUUCACCAGUUUAUUGCUGUUGCUACGCAAUAAUAAUCCAACCAAAAUUUGGCCUAAUCUAACCUUCAAUAAGGACAAGCUCUGUUUCGUAGAUAGAUCUUGAAGAAAGCUUUUGACCUAGUGCAAGUGUUGUUGAUAUUAAUCACAACCCAGUCUGAAUCAGUUAAUUUCAUAUAUAUUUAUUUAUUUUAGAGAGCAAAUUUUGUUCUCAGUUAGAUUUAUCUGGCGCUGAUCUUUUCCUAGGGGUAAAUUUUAGGCAGGUCCUUAAACACAAGAGUAGUCAUCCCCAAGGUUUUUGUUGGUGGUGGUCAUGACUGUUUUGUAAAUUCAACGAUCAAAAAAGUGUAUGUAUGAAAUUAAACUUAUGGCAGUUGUGCUUAAAAUAAGUUGCAAAAAUGUUCGCAAAAAAUCAUAGUUUACCUACCUGCUGUUUUUUUGUCGAACUAUUUGUUUUUCUUUUUGUUUAAAAAAAAUUGAUGAAGCAUCUAUUUUUAGUCGGUCGUUUUUAGUAAUGUUUUGCUCAAAAAGCUUACAAAAUUAAACGCAACAUGUUCAAUUCUGCUCUUUUUUAUUAUUUUUCAAACCCUCUCCUGAAAUGUCUUGUAUUUUAAUAAAGUAUUGCAUCAUUACCUAAAAAUGAUCAAUUUUCCCU
rnacentral:lncRNA from 1 species